rnacentral:rRNA from 1 species
ACCGGCGGCUCGAGUGGUGGCCACUAUUACUGGGCUUAAAGCGUUCGUAGCUGGCUUGUUAAGUCUCUGGGGAAAUCUUCCGGCUCAACCGGAAGGCGUCUCAGGGAUACUGGCAGGCUAGGGACCGGAAGAGGUGAGAGGUACUCCAGGGGUAGGAGUGAAAUGCAGGGAUCCGAGGGGGAGCACCGGUGGCGGGGGCGGCUAACCAGGUCGGAACCCACAGUGAGGAGCGAAACCUACUACAGCAAACAG